ACAUUUACACCGAAAUUUGGUUCGACUAUAUUUUAUGUCGAUUAAAAGGGAAUCAAGUGCGAAGAUUUACAUACAUAGUAGCGAUACUUUGUCUUCAAUUCUUGAACUGUUCCCGCAACUGUAAGCUAUAAAGCUUCAUGUUAUACUUCAAUGUCACUGUCAUUUUGAUGGGAAGACCAACAUGAAGACGCAAGUCAGGAGACCUGCCAUUUUCAAAACAAAUAA
rnacentral:ncRNA from 2 species